rnacentral:tRNA from 1 species
UCUAUAAUGGCAGAAUAAUGCAAUGGAUUUAAGAACCAUUUAUAAAAAUUUUUAAUUUUUUUAUAGAA